GUCCAGUUGCUUGAUGGCAGAACGUGGAGGAAUAUGGUCAUGUGGAUGAACGAUUGCAUCAUUAUUCCUCAUGAUAAAGCGUUGGGUAUCGAGAUCUGUGAGGCACUGUGUGCUUGAUAAGCAUUGUACGCAUCGUAGUGAACACAAGAGUUCACUUACCUGGGGGAUGUUUUUCCUCUUCCAACCCGGUAAAUGUAAAGAACAGUGACAAAAUCACGAUCAACGAUAUCAGUAUCACGGUGGCAACCAUAGUGUGGCUCGAAUGUGAUUCGAUGACCGAUGAUCGAGCCGUUAGAUCCCAAGAUACAGUUAACUUUGAGGAACCAUCGAUCCUUCACGCUUUAUAAAAGCUUUCGAGCUUGGACACGGAGUCAUUUUAUUUUUCUGCUGCGCAAGACUCGGUGCUGUGUCCGAUAACGCCGUACAAUUCGAUAAGUUGGACAAGCUGACGAUGUGCUGACCUUCAGUUCCUCUUCUUCCGCCUGAGCCUGUUUACGUCGAAUGAAGAAGACACGAGAAAUUAAUACUGCGAUGGGAGAUGGAUGGAUGCUGGAUGUGUUCAAUGAAUAAAAUCAUUUAGUCGCAACGAGCUCCCAUAGCAGUGUUCCGGUCCAGUUGCUUGGUGGCAUAACGCGGUGGAAUAUGAUACGGUUACGCCCGCCAUAUUUACCGGGACGAAGGUGGAGAAACAUCCCCCAGGUAAUAGAAUUGAUUCCGCGGUAGAAAAAUUCGGGUCUCCUCGCGACGAUCCAGGUAUCCACUCAUUUUUGGCCAUACUCGCAACAAUUGAAAACACGGUUUUGCUAAGAAAAACCGUGCCCAUGAAAAUCUGAAGGAAUAACGACCGGCGAAUACGGCGGCGAGGAAGGACGUCGUAUGCAACUGCUUCCAAGGUUUCUCCCAUUUCAUACCAAAUCAAUGUUUAACGUUUCAUUUUCAAACUAUUUCGGCGGAGCAGGGCGAUCUUUAUCUCUCGCGCCAAACAGUCGUCUUUGAACCAUAUAAACCAAUCGUUCCAAGUUGUUUCAGAUAUCUCCUGAAAGCCCCGACUAACAGGCAAUGACUUUCUUAAAAUAAACACGGACAUCGAAACACAAAUUUUACUUCUUUAUUCGAUUAAAAUAUUUUCUGAUUGUAUAUCACGCAUUUUCAACAUACUUUUUGUACAGUCGUAUAUCGUCCGUUUCCCAGCAUCAAGGAAUUAUUUAUAAAUCGAACCUCGGAACCGAUGUAAAAGGACGGAAUCGC